UACGUAGGGAGCAAGCGUUGUCCGGAAUCAUUGGGCGUAAAGCGCGCGUAGGCGGCCCUGUAAGUCCGUUGUGAAAGUCAAAGGCUCAACCUUUGAAAGCCGAUGGAUACUGCAGGGCUGGAGUCCGGAAGAGGCGAGUGGAAUUCCUGGUGUAGCGGUGGAAUGCGUAGAGAUCGGGAAGAACAUCAGUGGCGAAGGCGGAUCUGCUGGGCCGUUGCUGACGCUGAGGCGCGACAGCGUGGGGAGCAAACAGG
rnacentral:rRNA from 1 species